UAAUUUCCUUUCAAUCGAUCAUUCAUCUAGUUUUCUAAAAAAAUCUCACCAUAGUUCCAUGACUGAGAACCCCCAAACUUAAAGUUUACCUUCCGAUGACAUGAAGUUCUUACAACCGUAACAGUUUACCAAGUAAACCUCAUGAUGGACGUAGCAAAAAGGAAGAUGAAAUUGUGGAAUGAUUAAAGAAGCUGGACGGAUGACACACUACCAGCUCGAACCCAAUGGUACCAUGUCACUGCUGUUGUGAUUGCUGGAAUGGGAUUUUUCACCGAUGCAUACGAUCUCUUCUGCAUCACCACUGUCUCUAAACUUUUAGGCCGUUUGUAUUACUACGACCCGGCUACCCAUGCCCCGGGCAAAUUGCCUCAUAGUGUUAACAACUGGGUGAUCGGAG
rnacentral:misc_RNA from 1 species